rnacentral:rRNA from 1 species
CUCUGGGACAAGCCCUGGAAACGGGGUCUAAUACCGGAUACUGACCCGCUUGGGCAUCCAAGCGGUUCGAAAGCUCCGGCGGUGCAGGAUGAGCCCGCGGCCUAUCAGCUAGUUGGUGAGGUAAUGGCUCACCAAGGCGACGACGGGUAGCCGGCCUGAGAGGGCGACCGGCCACACUGGGACUGAGACACGGCCCAGACUCCUACGGGAGGCAGCAGUGGGGAAUAUUGCACAAUGGGCGAAAGCCUGAUGCAGCGACGCCGCGUGAGGGAUGACGGCCUUCGGGUUGUAAACCUCUUUCAGCAGGGAAGAAGCGAAAGUGACGGUACCUGCAGAAGAAGCGCCGGCUAACUACGUGCCAGCAGCCGCGGUAAUACGUAGGGCGCAAGCGUUGUCCGGAAUUAUUGGGCGUAAAGAGCUCGUAGGCGGCUUGUCACGUCGGUUGUGAAAGCCCGGGGCUUAACCCCGG